rnacentral:lncRNA from 1 species
AGCUCAGCGAGCGCACGCCCGUGCCGCCCUCUCGAGAGCACAGGGGCCGGAUGUUCUGCUGGCGCUGGCGCGGAUCCAGGAAAGAGACGUGGGACUGGGAGCCCACCGCGUACAGGGACAACUCGUCGCAGUAGCCAGCUGCCAUGUUGUGAGUUGCCUUGUGGAGAGACCCACUUUGUAAGGAGCUGAUGUCAGCUUGCCAACAGCCACAUGAGAGGGCUCAGAAGAGGAUUCCCCCUCUCCUGCCACCAGGAAAGAGCAAAGCCUUGGAGGACAGACAGAUAUUAGUUUGAAUAGUGGCUCCACCAAGUUACAAACUGUGCAAUCUGAGAUAUAGGAUUUGUAUGGGUGACAGAAAGACUGAAAUCACUAGAAGCUUUCAGCCAUGAAGAAGUUGUGCACUGUAAACACUCAAAUCAAGAUCUUUCAUCCGUGACAGAAUGGCUUGUUACUUUGCACAAAGGACAAUAAACUGGCUCAUAAGCAAAGUGAGUAAUUUUUUUAAACACUCUACUGCAUGUAUAACAAUCCUUGUAGCAUAUCUGUCAAGCACAUCAUUUGUAAAUACAAAAUGAAUUCAAAAGUAAAUCUUAAAGCCCGACAAUCAGGGAGAAAAACUUUGGUGGAAACCAGAUGGAUCCAAGAAAUAGGUAAUCAGGAAGUCUGACAAAUUACUUUUCACAAAUUACCUUCUUGGUGAUGUACAUCCAAAAUGGAAAAUGUUGCUGAAAGAUAGCUGUAUUUAUUUACUGAGAGGGAGAAGAAAUCUGGGGAAUAGAAUUUUUUUCUGUAUUAUUUUUCCAUCUUACUGAUGAGGCCAUAGUAAAAAUAAAUCUGUAAGUCACAGGCAUACGUUUUAUUUUGUGUAGAUCCCGAUAACUCAAAGUUAAUGAUGUAAACAAAAACAUAUAAGAGAAUGGUCCCAUAACAAAAUUUUGAAUGCAGAAAUAACUUUAGUUUUCCAAUAAAAGGAAGUUAAUGUUCUUUUUUGUUUGAUAAGAUGCUGCAAAAGAAUCUUUAGCCAAGUCAGAAACAACAACAACAAAAACAACAACAAUAGUAAUAAUAGAAGCCAAAAGAAAGGUUUUGAAAUGGAAUCAAAGGUCAG